UACGGAGGGUGCAAGCGUUAUCCGGAUUUACUGGGUUUAAAGGGUGCGUAGGCGGCAAUUUAAGUCAGUGGUGAAAUCCUGCAGCUCAACUGUAGAACCGCCAUUGAAACUGAAUUACUUGAGUGAUCUUGAGGUAGGCGGAAUGUGUAGUGUAGCGGUGAAAUGCUUAGAUAUUACACAGAACACCGAUUGCGAAGGCAGCUUACUAAAGGUUUACUGACGCUGAUGCACGAAAGCGUGGGGAUCAAACAGG
rnacentral:rRNA from 1 species